rnacentral:lncRNA from 10 species
GCGCCACCAUGCCUGGAUAAUUUUUUUUGUAUCUUUAGUAGAGACAGGGUUUCACUAUGUUGGCAGGCUGGUCUUGAACUCCUUACCUCAGGUGAUCCACCUGCCUCGGCCUCCCAAAGUGCUGGGAUUACAGGCGUGAGCCACUGCGCCCGGCCCUGAGUGCUUUACAAAUGAUAUUUAAUCCUCACAAUAACCCUAGGAGAUGGGUAUGACCCCCAUGUUAGAUAUGGGGAAACUGAGGCCCACAGGUGUUAAGUAUGUCUUCCCCAGAGCACACAGCUGGAAAAGACAAAACCUGGAUUUGAAUCCCAGUUUGUCUGCCUGACUUUGCAGUCCAUGUACGUAAGCACAAUGUUAUAUGCUCAAAUACCUAGCAUGGCUCUGUGGAGUGACACACCUGAAGUGCUCUUAGCAGAAUUAUUUGAACAGUAUUGCACAUCUGUAGCUCCUACCAGCGCUUUAGACAUGGCUGCCUGUUUUUCAGCCUUUGUGGCUCCUUUUCCUUUCCACACGUAGAUUUUGGUUCCACUUUGGUCCAGGAUGUAGCAGUCCUAAAGCAGCCAGAGAUAGGUAUGGUUGCUCAAGACCAGAAGGAAGAUUUUGCACAGGGUCUGCUUCUGAAGCAUGUCUGGCUACCCCAAGCUAAGUCCACCCAAACUCUACUUACAUCAUGGUUCAGUAAGUCCUGGACCAGAGGCCUUGUUGCUACCUCUGUGACUGCCAGCUGCCCAGCUGAAUCUGAGAUACUGGAGAAGGGGAGAGGUUAGCCUGUGCCUUUUCCUCUAUAAAGCAUCUUGUAGUCAACUAGAUGUUGUUCUGGUUUGGUUUUAGUUUGGAGUUUCUAGGUAGAGUGUGACUGCCUAAGACAGCCAUGACUUGAGUGAGGACAGGAAUGUGCAGACUCUUUUCUUUGGUGGAGACUUUUGUUCAUCUCUCUCCCAAACAUUAUCCCUUCCACAUCCCUGGGCAUGUGUAGGCUAGAGUAAAGGAAAGGUCUCCUCAAGAGAUCAGGAGAGUUGCUAACAAGAACUGCCUCCUUGAGUGGGGGAUCUCCAAGCUUUCUAGGAGCUGCAUUUGAAAAGGACUAAGAAGAAAACCAGAUGGCUACACCCAAAACAAGGAGCCAAGCAGAGGUGGCUGGUGUUCUAGGGGACACCUUCCCCCCAACCCCAGCUUCCAGCUAAAACCAGGUUGAGCUACUCACUGAUACAACAUGAUAGUUGAUUUCUGCUUCUGAUCUAUGAUCUCAUCAGGGACUGUAGGCUUGAUAAUGGAGCGUCGGCCAAGGGUGUCCUGAAGGACCUUCAUCAGCUCUGGGCUGGCUGCCUCCUUGUCUCCCUCGAUCACUCCUAUUUUAGCACGGCCCCCUCGCUCCCUGUCUCGAAUAUCCUUUGCCAGAAGCAUAGCCUGUCAAAGAAGCCCAAGGAAGCCCUCAGCUCCUCUGGGACCCCUUUCUGCCUGAUGUCUUUGGGGAGAACAGCCUAGAUCCCAGACACAGGAGUUACUUGGAUGCUGAGGAGUCCAGGGUGAGUCACAAACUCACACACUUGGCCUGUCUCCAAGACAGAUUCUACUCAAAGGCAGGGCUCCACCUUGAUUCUUGGGGAAGAGCCAGCAUGGAGGGAAGAAGAAAGAGGAACUUGAGAAAGUGCUAAGGCUAGGAAGCCAUACCUUCAGGCGCUCCCCACUGUUGCUCUCUGGGCCAUUCCAUUGGAUGAUGACUUUCCCAAGGUCCAGCAAGAAGACAUCACCUCGGUUGAAACUGUCCCAGCUCAUUUCCACCUGUCGAUGAGAGGUAAACAUUGUUCAGGAGGAAUUCUUAGGUGCCAGGUGGAGAAGCCCCGGGCCUGGGGCAGAGAGUGUGCAGGACUAACCUCGGUAGCCCUGAUGUUUCUUUUCCCUUUCACAUGUAGCAGCCGCUUCACGUCGUAGGUAUUGGUCUCCACGUGCUUCAUCCCAGAGGCGACACCCCCCUGCUUGUAGCUAAGGGAACAUCCAUUCAGUUAUUUGAGUGCCUGCUAUGUGCUAGGUUCUGGGGAGACAGUGGUGAAUUACACAGAUGCAGCCUCACUCAUGUGAUGACAGUACAUCAGCAAGGUAAAUACAGAUGGUGGCAGCUGCUGCCCCACAAGUAGACUGGGUGAGUGACUUUCUGGUAGCGAGUUGGGGCAGUCUUCUCUGAAGAAAUGACAUUUGAACUGAGAUACUACAAGGAAAAUGAACCAAUACCCAGAAGAAUAGUGCUCCAGGCACUAUAACAGUGUCCAGGAGACAUCAGUGACAAAGACCCCUGCACCACAGAGGGCUUGUUUUGUUCCAGGAACUGUCUGAAUGCCAGUGUGUUACUGGGAGAGGGAUACAAGUUGUGCUGCAGCAGAAGCAUUAAUGACUCCACGGCCUUAAGACCACCUACCCUAGGAAUCAGCUCACCCGCCCUGCACUCAGCCCAGCCCAGCCUCCGAGCCAGGGGUCCUGCACUUUAAGGGAAUGCGGAAGGUAGCCCUGGAGCAGAGGGGCUCUGUCCUUGGGUUCCCCAGUGGCUCAGUGUGCUCCUCUGUGCCCAGAAGGGCCUCAGUCAGUGGAGACUGCUGACCUGCAAGAAGCUGAUCUUGGCCCAGCCUCACAAUUCUCAAGCUCAUUGGAAUUCCUCUUUUUGUUUUAAUAUCAGGGGCAAAGUUUUGAGUUAAACUUCUCAGUUGAUGGAACAUUAUCAUCAGCCUUCGCUCCCUCUCUAGUGUUAUGUGUCUGUGCAUUCCCUUUAUCUGCCUGUCCUACUCCCAUUCCUCUCCCCAAUACGCUUCCAUUCUAACUGUUGACCUUUUUAUUUUCAUUCUAGUAAACUGUGUCCCCCACCUUUUUUUUUAAAGACAGGGUCUCACUCUGUCACUCAGGCUAGAGUUCAAUAGUGCAAUCAUGGCUCAUUGCAGCCUUGACCUCCCGGGCUCAAGUGAUCCUCAUCAGGGACUGCAGGCUCGAUAAUUGAGGGCUCAAUACCCUCAGCCCAUGGAGUAGCUAGGACUAUAGGAGUGCACCGCCAUGCCUGGCUAGCUUUUUUACAAAAUAUUUUUUGUGGAGAUGAGGGUCUUACUGUGUUGCCUAGGCUGAUCUUGAACUCUUGGGCUCAAGCUAUCCUCUUGCCUCAGCCUCCCAAAGUGCUGGGAUUACAGGUGUGAGCCACCACGCCCAACCCAUCCUGUUGUUUUGUGUGCAUGUUUUUGUUUUGUUUUGUUUUGUUUGAGAUGGUGUCUUGCUGUGUUGCGGGGCUGGAGGGCAGUGGCAUGAUCUCAGCUCAGUGCAACCUUCGCCUCCUGGGUUCAAAUGAUUCUCCUGCCUCAGCCUCCCGAGUAGCUGGGAUUACAGGUGUGCACCAGCAUGCCCGGCUAAUUUUUGUAUUAUUAGUAGAGACGGGGUUUCACCAUGUUGAUCAGGCUGGUCUUGAACUCCUGACCUCGUGAUCCGCCUGCCUCGGCCUCCCAAAGUGCUGGGAUUACAGGCGUAAGCCACCAUGCCUGGCCAUGCGUGUGCUUUUUAAAACAGAAAUUGGCAUUCUGUUAUAUGUCUUAGUCUGUUUCUUACUUUGUGUGCUAAGCACCAUGUUUGUGAGCUCUGUCCUUGUGUUAGGUGUGUAUCUAAUCUGUUGCUUCUGGCUACUGCAUAAUACUCCGUGGUGUGCAUGUCCAGUCUCCGAGUGAUGGACACCUACGUUGCCUGCAGCUUCCUAACAUCAUUAAUGAGGCUGCUAUGAACAGUCUGGUCCAUGUGCCCUUAUGGACCUGGAUACGUGAGGAUUUCUGUGAGUUACACAUGCAGAAGUGGGAUUUGCAAGUGGCACUGACUACUCUCCAGGAUGCUGCGCUAGUCCACACUUCCAUCAGCAGGGCACAAGGGCUCCUAUUUCCCCAUAGCCUUGCCAACACUUGGCACCUCCCAGCUGUUUAAUCUGCUGCUCUAGUGGGUGGAAGUGACAGCUUUGUUUUGAUUUGCAUUUCUCUGAUUACUUUCUUGAUAAUGCAUGUUGGCCUUUUGGGUUUCCUCCUCUGUAAACUGCUGUUUCUGUCCUUGCUCUGUGCACCCCUACUCACAUGAUGCCCUGCUUGAAGUAGCCACGGAAAGUGUCUGACUCAUGGUACUGGACCUCUCGGUGCUGCACAGGGCUGCCUCCCAGGUAGUCGUCCAGCUGUGUGGUAUAUAUGGCUGCGCAGCUUUGCUCAUCCUGGGAGGAGUCCUUCCCGAUCCAGAAGUGGAUGUCCUGGGAUAGGAGACUGGCCACUCUCCGGGUCUGGGAGGUAGUCAGAGAGAUCAGGUCAGAGGCCAGCUCACCUCCCCUUUGCUGCUGGCCCCUGUUAUGGGGAGAAUGCAGCACAUGUGCAUGCCCUUGGCAGACUGAGGGCCCUCUCUCCUGCAGUGGAUGUGGGAGCUGCCCUGGCCCCCGAGCAGACCUGCGAUCAUGGCAUAAACUUUGGCAGCCCAAAUUCCUCCCCGCAUUUGGGGAAAGUUGACAGCUUGUUGUUCCCCAAAUAAAUAGAUACCAACGGGGAUCUUUUCCCAGCCGGGUUGCAGGCUUACCUCACAGGUCCCCUUGGUCCCUUGCACUCACACAGCUGGCACAGUGCUCAUCUGUACACCUGCACGACCCUGUCAGCACCGUUCAUGUGAGUCUCCUCCAUGAGAAUAGCACUUUGAGGCUAGAGACAGGCCUUGCAUUUAUCAGGCCUUCUUCCACACCACUUUAAUGUGGGGCCUAGGCCCGGGAGAAGUGCUGCUUGUGGGUGGCUCACUGAGGUUCAGACUGAGGGUCCUACCCCCAUCCUCUUAUGCAGCAUUAAAAACCCAGGCUUAAUGAUGGCCUUUGAUAGUCAGACUGGAGGUCUGCUCUGCAUAGCACUGAGGAACCAUUGAGACCGAUACCAGGGACUGACUACCUUCCCUCACCAGCACAUCUCCCAGUACAGCCCAAGAACUGGCCCCAGGGGAGAGGCUCACAGGAGUGGGGAGGAGGGUGCUCACCGAGAGGAUGACGUAGCAGUCCCCCUCAUAGAAGUUGCCGUGGGCGCUCACAGGCACCAGCGCCAGCUCCAUUUUCUGGAAGGACAAGGGGUGGGUAUAGGCUACAUCCCCUCCCACCUCCCUUCCCCAUGAGCCUCCCUCUCCUCUCUGUCAUUCGGUGCAGGUGGUGGGGAGAAGGAGGGGAGAUGUUCUCAAUGACCUUACAGGAUGUGAGGCUGCCAGCCACAGGGUUAACGUGGCCAUCCCUCUGGCUUCUGUGAGCUCUGCUUGCAUCACCCCGGAUCUGAACCUUGGUCCCUAUCCUGCUUUCCCUUGCCCUAUUCUCCACUCUACUUCCCACCCGAUCUCAUCUCGCACUAUUGUGGGAAACCUGUGAACCACCUCCAGCCCUUUGCUGGAUAUAAACGACCAAGUACAAACCCUUCUCUGAGCCGUUGUGCCAGCACCUCCAACGCUCUUCCCAACGCUGACCACUGGGUGCUGGCCCAGGCCCAUGUAAGAAAGAACACUUGGAUUCUGUGGGGCCGUGGGAGGUGGAGGAUAACAUUUGGAGAGUGCCAGCGGUCAGCAGGGCUCUGUGCCAAGUGUCUUAUAUUUGGAGUCUGGGUCAGGGCCCUGAUUUAUCACUGCAUGUAUGGCUUGGCCCUGGAGGACUGUUCACACAGCCUUGAUGUAGAUUUUCAUCACACUCCCCAAGUGAGGGAAACUUGCGGCCAUACUUGUGUGUGUUCUAUGUAAAAUGUGAUAAAUGUUAAAUAUACUGCAAAUCUGGUAACCGUGUUUUAGUACUUGUUUUUUGUUUUUGUUUUUGUUUUUUUUGAGAGGGA